UACGUAGGUGGCAAGCGUUAUCCGGAAUUAUUGGGCGUAAAGAGCGCGCAGGUGGUUAAUUAAGUCUGAUGUGAAAGCCCACGGCUUAACCGUGGAGGGUCAUUGGAAACUGGUUGACUUGAGUGCAGAAGAGGGAAGUGGAAUUCCAUGUGUAGCGGUGAAAUGCGUAGAGAUAUGGAGGAACACCAGUGGCGAAGGCGACUUCCUGGUCUGCAACUGACACUGAGGCGCGAAAGCGUGGGGAGCAAACAGG
rnacentral:rRNA from 1 species